GGGAUUGUGGCUCAGUGGUAGAGCACUUGCCUCCCAUGUAUGAGGCCCUGGGUUUGAUCCUCAGCACCA
rnacentral:tRNA from 1 species